UCCCGCCGCAGUUGGUGUGUGAACGCCGUCGUUGCAAAGGUGUGUGUCUGAACGUGUGUCAUUGUGCUUGACAUAACUCGUACCUGUUGCCUUUACCACAAGCAAGACCUUUUUUCUAAACAUUCACAUUGUUCUCUUCACCCUCCCUCUCUUCUUAUCUACAUCGUCCAGCGACAGUAUUUAUCAGUGACAAAACUAGUAUAAAUCCGGUGUCAUCUCGAGUCGGAGUCUCUCUCACACCCCUUCAUUACAAAGGAAAAGAAGCCACCGAAAGGAUCCAGCGACAUUAUUAUUCCGUCUCAACAUGUCCAACUUGAAACUGGUUACAAUAGUUGUAACCUCAUGCCUCCUGUCGCUGUUGAUAUAUAUACGCCCAGACAUCUCUGCCAUGGGAAAACAUGUACGCCCACAAAUCUCUCCCGCGGAACGAACGCCAUCCCUCACAGCGGCCAAAACGCCGUCCCAGUGCCUCCCGCUGCCCAGUGCCGUAAGAGAGAAGGAGGCGCCGAGUAAAAACUGCUCUAGGCCGUUUGCGGUGAUGUUUUGACGGCGGGAGACUCGGGAACCAGAUGUGCCAGUACUUGUCCCUGAUGCUGCUGAGGAAACAGUUCGGGAUCAAGGUAGCCUUCGCACUUUUGCAGUCGCGCAGGUUUU